CUCCAGUUGAUCCUGCCGACCCUGACUGCUAUCGGAUUGGUACUAAGCCAUGCGAGUCAUUGUAGCAAUACAAGGCGGACGGCUCAGUAACACGUAGUCAACCUAACUCGUGGACGUGGAUAACCUCGGGAAACUGAGAAUAAACCACGAUAGAUCAUAGUGCCUGGAAUGGCUUAUGGUCCAAACAGUUUACUGCCAUGGGAUGGGACUGCGGCCUAUCAGCUUGUUGGUGAGGUAAUGGCCCACCAAGGCGAUUACAGGUACGGGCUCUGAGAGGAGAAGCCCGGAGAUGGGUACUGAGACACGGACCCAGGCCCUAUGGGGCGCAGCAGGCGAGAAACCUUAGCAAUGUGCGAAAGCACGACUGGGUCAGUCCGAGUGAUUCCUGAUAAAGGAGUCUUUUGCUUGUCCUAAAAGCACAGGUGAAUAAGGGGUGGGCAAGUCUGGUGUCAGCCGCCGCGGUAAUACCAGCACCUCGAGUGGUCAGGACGUUUAUUGGGCCUAAAGCAUCCGUAGCCGGCUCUGCAAGUCUUCGGUUAAAUCCACCUGCUCAACAGAUGGGCUGCUGGAGAUACUACAGAGCUAGGGAGUGGGAGAGGCAGACGGUAUUCAGUGGGUAGGGGUAAAAUCCUCUGAUCCAUUGAGGACCACCAGUGGCGAAGGCGGUCUGCCAGAACACGUUCGACGGUGAGGGAUGAAAGCUGGGGGAGCAAACCGGAUUAGAUACCCGGGUAGUCCCAGCUGUAAACGAUGCAAACUCGGUGAUGCAUUGGCUUAUGGCCAAUGCAGUGCCGCAGGGAAGCCGUUAAGUUUGCCGCCUGGGAAGUACGGACGCAAGUCUGAAACUUAAGGGAUUGGCGGGGGAGCA
rnacentral:rRNA from 1 species